AACGGUUGGUUGUUCAAAGAUUUGAAGUUGAAUAGUGGAGAUAAGUACACGGCUUGGAUCGAGUACAACAACAAUUUAAAAGUGAUCUCGGUUACGAUCGGGUUCGCGCAUUUGAAGAAACCGAACCGACCUUUGAUUGAAGCGAAGUACGAUCUCUCUAAUGUGCUGCUCGAGAAGAUGUACGCCGGUUUUGCCGGUUCAAUGGGCCGUGGUGUUGAGCGUCACGAGAUCUGGGACUGGACUUUCCAGAAUUAAUAAACCGGAUUUAUUCGAUUUGAGAUCGGUUUAAAUCGGUUUUGCUUGGUUUGUUUUUGUUUUGUUUUGAUAGCUUCGGUUAGUGGCUCCCGCUAAUAAUUGAAGUGAAUAAAUGCUCAAGGUGUCGGUUUCUAAAUUUCAAAAAUGAAUACAACAUUCUACCUAAUGGCUAAUACCAAAGACUUGAAAUACCAAAAUCAAAAUCAAAAUCAAAAUUUGUAUUUCUUUUUGUAUACAACCCACUUCGGUAGAACCUAAAAGAACGAACCCAAUACGAAUCCAUUAAUAAUAAACCGGGUUUACUCGGUUCAAAUCGCUUAUCGUUUGGUUUGCUUAUGUUUUGAUAGCUUCUGUAAGUGUGGCUCCCGCUACUAGUUGAAGUGAAUAAAUGCUCAAGUUAUCAAGUUUUCAGACUUCAAAAACAAAAAAUACUACGACACUCUACCUAAUACCAAAGACAUUUUUGUUUUUGAAACACACCAAAGACUUAAAAAACCAAAAAAAAAUCGAAAAUUUAGUUUCUUGUUGUACUGAUGUUAAGUGUAUUAUAAUACAAACACACAUGGGUAGAACUUAAAAGAAAAACCAAUAAGAAUAGGUUUUCUCGAAAAAGCCCCAUUAAAUACGUUAAUGUGUUUGGAAUUUCAUCCAGUUAAUUUAGAGUCGGUUUAUACAACUUUAAAAAAGAAAAAAAUUAGAGUAAACUUAAUCUUUAUUUUAUUUUCAAGCUGAUCAAAUGUAAAUAAAAAAUAGAGUAAUACAAUAAAAAUAUUCUUAAUUUUUUUGACCGAACUCCAUUUUAUACUAUAAAUUUUAUUUUGGAAUAAAGUUCCUUAACCAUAUCCAUUUUUUAAUUUCUUAAUCAUAUCUAUUUUUCUUAAAUUUUAAAAUAAAGUAAAAAGUGAAAUUAUUUUUAAAUGAAACAAUUGUAUGUAUUUCAGUAUUUCUCUGUAUUUACUCCUUACUUUAUUUUAGAAUAAAAAGUAAAGUAGUUAAAGUAAAAAUGUAAAGUAGUUAAACUAGAAUUUAAUCAUCAACCCAAUCAUAUUCAAACCUCCCAACAACGCUUCUUCUGUUUACCCUUUCAAGACCUCUUUCACUUUCUCCAUCACUCCACACAACACAAACCCUGCUCCUGGUCACGGUUUCGCCUUCCUCGUCGUCCCAAGUAACCAACAUGCCGGUUCCGGUUUAGGCUUCCUAAGUCUCGUGAACCGAACCAGUAACGGUAAUCCAAGUAACCACCUCUUUGCUGUUGAGUUCGAUGUGUUUCAGGACAAGUCUUUUAAAGACAUCAACGAUAACCAUGUCGGAAUCGACAUUAAUUCGGUCGACUCGGUGACUUCGGUUAAAUCCGGUUAUUGGGUUAUGACAAGAAACGGUUGGUUGUUCAAAGAUUUGAAGUUGAAUAGUGGAGAUAAGUACACGGCUUGGAUCGAGUACAACAACAAUUUAAAAGUGAUCUCGGUUACGAUCGGGUUCGCGCAUUUGAAGAAACCGAACCGACCUUUGAUUGAAGCGAAGUACGAUCUCUCUAAUGUGCUGCUCGAGAAGAUGUACGCCGGUUUUGCCGGUUCAAUGGGCCGUGGUGUUGAGCGUCACGAGAUCUGGGACUGGACUUUCCAGAAUUAAUAAACCGGAUUUAUUCGAUUUGAGAUCGGUUUAAAUCGGUUUUGCUUGGUUUGUUUUUGUUUUGUUUUGAUAGCUUCGGUUAGUGGCUCCCGCUAAUAAUUGAAGUGAAUAAAUGCUCAAGGUGUCGGUUUCUAAAUUUCAAAAAUGAAUACAACAUUCUACCUAAUGGCUAAUACCAAAGACUUGAAAUACCAAAAUCAAAAUCAAAAUCAAAAUUUGUAUUUCUUUUUGUAUACAACCCACUUCGGUAGAACCUAAAAGAACGAACCCAAUACGAAUCCAUUAAUAAUAAACCGGGUUUACUCGGUUCAAAUCGCUUAUCGUUUGGUUUGCUUAUGUUUUGAUAGCUUCUGUAAGUGUGGCUCCCGCUACUAGUUGAAGUGAAUAAAUGCUCAAGUUAUCAAGUUUUCAGACUUCAAAAACAAAAAAUACUACGACACUCUACCUAAUACCAAAGACAUUUUUGUUUUUGAAACACACCAAAGACUUAAAAAACCAAAAAAAAAUCGAAAAUUUAGUUUCUUGUUGUACUGAUGUUAAGUGUAUUAUAAUACAAACACACAUGGGUAGAACUUAAAAGAAAAACCAAUAAGAAUAGGUUUUCUCGAAAAAGCCCCAUUAAAUACGUUAAUGUGUUUGGAAUUUCAUCCAGUUAAUUUAGAGUCGGUUUAUACAACUUUAAAAAAGAAAAAAAAAUCGGCUAUUGGCUAUAAAGAAGACAUAUCUUGAAGAUAGAUUCAUAAUAAAACAUAAGUCGGUAUAAGAUAAGGAAUUUCAUAGUUUAUCUUAUUAUUACAGAAUACUUAAACUUUAUACAAAUUUCUAGUCUUUUCUCUUAUAAUCAAACAUUUGAUUCCUCAGUAACAAUUUGUGGAGUCUGUGGAAAAUUAUAAAGCAAAGUCUAUAUACAACUAUUUAUUAGCCAUGCAAGGACAUCUUCAAUUCUCUCCAUUAAUUUUUCUAACCUUAUUCCAUCGUUAUUAAUCAAAAAUACAUUACUCCAUUUUCUAAUUUCCAAUGAAGUAAAAAAUUUAAUUAUUCAAAAGAAAUAACAUAUAUAUAUAUAUAUAUAUACAUAUAUAUAUAUAUUAUGUUUAUAUUUAUUUAUUACUCUGAUUUACUGUAAAUAGAAUAUAAUUAGAGUAAACUUAAUCUUUAUUUUAUUUUCAAGCUGAUCAAAUGUAAAUAAAAAAUAGAGUAAUACAAUAAAAAUAUUCUUAAUUUUUUUGACCGAACUCCAUUUUAUACUAUAAAUUUUAUUUUGGAAUAAAGUUCCUUAACCAUAUCCAUUUUUUAAUUUCUUAAUCAUAUCUAUUUUUCUUAAAUUUUAAAAUAAAGUAAAAAGUGAAAUUAUUUUUAAAUGAAACAAUUGUAUGUAUUUCAGUAUUUCUCUGUAUUUACUCCUUACUUUAUUUUAGAAUAAAAAGUAAAGUAGUUAAAGUAAAAAUGUAAAGUAGUUAAACUAGAAUUUAAUUCUAUUUUAAAUUUUAUUAUAUUUUGGUUUAUCAAAAGGAGCAAAGAAUAUGCCCAUAUGACAACAAAUUAGAAGAUCUCCAUAAUUUUAACUUGGAAUCAUUACGUGUGGUGGAGGGUACACCAACUCAGUGUAAACUUGCGUGUUUUUUUAAAAAAUAAAUUGUGUGUUUUUUUGUUAUAAAAUAAUAAAAAAAUCUAUUUUUAUUCGUAACCUUAUAUAGGAGAUUACACCGUCAUAGAUAAAUGGAAAGAUUACAAAUCAUAAUCUCUUGGUUAUGAGCCAUCCACAAUCUGGUUCAUAACACUUCUCCUUGGAUGCCAUAACCAUUUAGAGCUUGUAAUGUAUUUUAAUGUUGCCUCAUUAAAACCUUACCAGAAAAACCCAAUUGAGACAAAACCAUGGUGAAGGAAAAAAAGUACAACACAUAUUACUCCCCCUGAUUUGGACAUUACUGAAAGUCCCUGGGACCUCUCCAAUUUUCUGCAAUCUGUGGGUGAUGAAGAUCUUGGGCAGAAUAUGCUUCGUCUUCGAACAUGAUAGUUGGUUCUUCUUUACCAUUGGUCAUGCCACAAUCUGAUCGGUGUCGGUUUCUAAAUUUCAAAAAUGAAUACAACAUUCUACCUAAUGGCUAAUACCAAAGACUUGAAAUACCAAAAUCAAAAUCAAAAUCAAAAUUUGUAUUUCUUUUUGUAUACAACCCACUUCGGUAGAACCUAAAAGAACGAACCCAAUACGAAUCCAUUAAUAAUAAACCGG
rnacentral:lncRNA from 1 species